UACGUAGGGGACCGAGCGUUGUCCGGAUUCAUUGGGCGUAAAGAGCUCGUAGGCGGCCACUCAAGUCGAAUGUGAAACCUCGAGGCUUAACCUCGAGCCUGCAUUCGAUACUGGGCGGCUAGAGUCUGGUAGGGGGAUCUGGAAUUCCUGGUGUAGCGGUGGAAUGCGCAGAUAUCAGGAGGAACACCGGUGGCGAAGGCGGGAUCCUGGGCCAGUACUGACGCUGAGGAGACGAAAGCGUGGGGAGCAAACAGG
rnacentral:rRNA from 1 species